rnacentral:rRNA from 1 species
UACGAAGGGGGCUAGCGUUGCUCGGAAUCACUGGGCGUAAAGGGUGCGUAGGCGGGUCUUUAAGUCAGGGGUGAAAUCCUGGAGCUCAACUCCAGAACUGCCUUUGAUACUGAGGAUCUUGAGUCCGGGAGAGGUGAGUGGAACUGCGAGUGUAGAGGUGAAAUUCGUAGAUAUUCGGAAGAACACCAGUGGCGAAGGCGACUUACUGGACACAUAUUGACGCUGAGGUGCGAAAGCGUGGGGAGCAAACAGG